rnacentral:lncRNA from 1 species
CAAGUGCGAGAAGAUGUCAGAGCUGGAAAUAAGACAGGAAGAUAAAUCAUGAUUAUAUGUUUACAAGUUUAUUCAUUUAUUUAUUUUAAUAUACGACAUUUUCUUCAGGAAUGAGGAAGACUUAGAAAAAUAUAUAAAUUUAAACUCUGGAAGACAAAAUUCACUUAUCAUUAUAGAAAAUAGCAGUCAGCUCAACUGCACAAAAAUAACUCAGGCAGUUAUCUCUCACCAGCUUGCAACACUGUACUGAUAUAUUCUAUUUACUACUUUAUAUCCAUCUGCCAAACCCACCUGGGUUUCAUGUAGGGCAUUCACUAGCUCUGUUAAUGAUAAGCUUCACUCUCUUCCCUAUGCCAUCCCCUCAACAACUUCUAAAAAUAAUUAAUUAAAUAAAAA